AGCAGUUGAGCCCAAGGCCACGUUUUCAUUUCCCGGAGCUCGCAUGUGGGCUGACCCAUUUCCUUGGGGGCCUAUCUUAUGAACCUGGCUCUGGCAUUGCUCUGUAAGGGAAUUUCAGAGAGCAGGGUCAUUUGAUCCCGGGGGACUCUCCUCCAGACCAUCUAUAGAAUGGAUUAGUUGAUGGACACCAGUCAUGAAGAAGCUGAUCUCUGAGAGAUGAGUAUGAAAAUGCACAUUGCUGGUAUCCAGCAUCUUCCGGCCUCAGGGCGAUGCCUGUUUCUUCUUGUUGCUUCUGCGUCUUUGUCAAGAAGUGUCCUUAGUCCCUGCACAGUGACAUAAGGUCAGAGUCCAGGCUGAGUCUACUAAUAAUAGCUGAUUCUGCACUGUGGUGAUGUAGAGAAUUUGAAAGUGGAGUUGCCGAUGCUUCCUCCAAGUCUCCUCAAGAUUGCUCUCCAUGUUGCUACAGUACCCUCUGCCACGGGCCAUCCCAGAGCACUCCCACGACAAGUGACCAUUGUGUAUUGGAACCGUCACUUGCUUUGCUUCUGCUGGACGCAAGCACUUACUUUGUUGAACUAAACUCAAUGGAUUGAAACUAUGAAGCUUAUCAAUACUAAGUAUUAAGUAGGUUUGGGUUCCAGAGACCAAGCUCAGGUUUUCAGGGCUGUGAGGCAAAUGCUUUGACCCACCGGGCUAUCUUGCUGGUCCAAAUAGAUGCAUUUUGCUACAGAUCAGCUGAGUUUUUACCCUUAACUUUCAAGAUACACUAUUUUUCAAGAUAGGUACACUUAAACACUUUGAAUUUAUAUUUUUUAAAGACUCAUUUAUUUUAAUACGCAUGGAGCUAGGCCUGCAUAUAUGUCUGUAUGUGGACAUCACAUCCCCUGGAACGGGAGUUACAGACAGUUGUGAGCUGCCAUGUAGGUGCUGGGAAUUGAACCCAGGCCCUCUGGAAGAGCAGCCAGUGCUCUUAACUGCUGAGUCAUCUCUCCAGCCCCUUGAAUUCAUAUUUUUAAAUUGUUCUCUAGGAAGAUUGAAUGUGACAUCGAGGUAGGUGUCUUUCUACAAAUUUAGCGAAGCAUGUCCUUCACCUCUGUCAGCAGUGGAAUGAUUCCCUGAAAGGUCCAGUCCUGUGAACUAGAGAAGCUAUGUCUGGACCAAGCAGCCUGACAUUUGCUUUUCUAGGCAGUGAAAUCUGAGAGAAGCAGGGAAGGAGAUUCUCGGUUUACCUCCAACUUUACGCCUGAUGGCUGCCGGUCGUGAUUUCCAUACCCACAACCCCUGGCUUUUUUGGAAAGCAUUUUGUUUGAUUCUAAUUUGGAAGAUCUUUUUUAAUUGGCUGACACCCUACACCAUUACUUUAUAUCCCUAGCUGAAAAAUGACAUUAAAAAAAAAUCCAUUUCCCUGAAAACCCCUCCGGUCUUGAGAUUAGUUCUCACCCCCGUGUGGAUCAUCACGGCUGCAGCUUCCUAAGGGAUUACUCACAUGAGCAAGAACAGUCACUCUGCAUGGAAAGAUUGAGAGCCGCUAGUCCGCGGAACCUAAUUUAGAAAUAACCUGCAAGCACUAGUUAGCGACUAAUGAAGGUUAACUGAGCCCUCCCUGGAGACCGUUCUCUCGGUCUAUCUAUAACUGCCAAGACUCUCUUUUACAUUUGUUACACCCAGGGGACCAGAAAGGAGAAUAAAGACCGAAGGGGGAGAGCAGUCAGCUGCUCGCUUGCUGCAUUCGCCUGCCCUACUUAGAAAGACAGCAACACAUACAUUGUCUGACCAGCUCUCUAGAUUAGAGCCCCAUCCCAAUGGUGAUUAUUAUCCACAAUUUAUUUAGUUGUUUCAUGUCAAAGUGAUGCAAGAGCAUAUUGAGCUGUAGAUAUUUUAAGUAAAUUCCUAUGGUAAAUUU
rnacentral:lncRNA from 1 species